CCUGAAGCUGGCCCUCCCAUUGGUUGAGAGUACUGUGGGAACUGAAGCCAAGAAGGAUUCACAGGCACCGCAGCUCCACUGCCUUUUUAAAGCUCUCAAAGCGUGGGCUCGAGGUUCAAGCUAGCCCGCCUUGUGCAUUAUGCCGGUGGACAUUCCAGGGAAGUCGAGCGCUUCACCACUCGGAGGAGCUCUGAUAAGCCCUAGCUGGACCCCAGACAAGUCGGACCACGCAGCCGAAAACCGUAAGAUUAAGAAAGGGAGAAUGAAACACCGGACUCAACCGUUGCUUAUCUAUUAGUCCUCCAAGUCGAUCAUGGAGAAAUGGCGGUUAAGAUCAUCAACGCGAGCCUUGUUCUGCUCCAGACCAUCAUCCUGAACGCUCAUGAGAAGGAUGUGAGCCGGGCUGGGAUGAAGCACUCGAAGGGUCUCCAGUUCUCACGGCUUACUAUUGCCCUCAGAUCCUAAGACUCAGAAUGUAGGAUACCUCUAGUUUGCCAUCCAUCCUGCGUUCCUGCCUCCAGAGCUCCCAGCUCACAAAACUAGAGGCAGCUGACAUCCUGGAGAUGACCUUGAGACAUCUGCAGAACCUACAUGGCCCAGUGAUAGGGAUCCCUGUAUGACAGGUUGUCAAGGACACCUCGUUCCUAGAUUCAAGAGAGACUCUUGAAGUGUCAAGGACCUGCACACCCAGUGGAAGAGGACUGGAAUUUCUCUCUGCGUUAUCCUGUUUAUUGGUAUCUGGAGGCUGUUGAGGCUAUUAGACACCAAGGCUAGAAUGAGUUGUAAAGUCACCCUCACUUCACAAAUUCACCAUUCUACUGUUUGUGCCUCUUGUACCCUCAGAGUUGCUACUGGGUGCUAUGAUUUCCUUGUGUAAAGGGUUGGCCCCCAUCACAAGUUCAGCUUGCAGAGUAACUUGUGAGUCAUAUGGAAGCUGCAUUCAGGCCACCAUGAAGUAAGGCAAGUAACUCUACCACAGGUCGAUCCACCAGCUCUUCCAAUAGGCUAUCCCUAGAUCUUCUUGCCCUGGACUGUACACACCUGGGAGAAAUCUCUAAGUCUUUGCUGAACUUGUCACCCCUGCUUGCCCCACUAUUUUCCAUCUUCCUGAAUUUCCAGAGGCUGAAGACAGUGAUUAUGAAUAGUAGGAACCGUGUGGAAUAGGUGUUAUACUCUUCAGACCUGAGUGGAGGGGGACAGUGUUAUUAAGGAACUAAGUGGAAAAUCCUAGCAGUGAAGUCUGUAUGGAAGAUGGGGAACUGCUCAGUGUAGAAGGGUAUAAAGGGAAGGGGGAGGUGAGGGCCUGCUUGGAUCAAGGCCUCACCUUGUCAAGGAGUACUUUCUGUGUGGCCAGGGGGCACUAGGAGGUCAUAUUGGUCUUAUUGGUCCCCUUCCAGAAGAAGAGAAUUCUGGAAAGAACAGUAAUUCUCCUAACCAGACCCUGGCAUUCCUGCCUUACUUCCUAUCCUCUGUAGUUUGUUCAGAAUAUCCUUACCAAGAUCAGCUGAUGCUGUGCAUGGUUGUAACAGGCUUCCAGAUCUUAGAACAAUUGAUGCCAUGAUGUAAGUACCAUUCAGGCCAUGAAACCCAGCAUGUAGGCAUUACCUGUCAAAAAUGAAAACAAAGGCCUAACCUAUCAAAGUCCAUAGUUAUGGGAAAGUCCCUAAAUCUACUAACCUUGCCUUUUGGCUUCUGUAGUUCUGCUUCUGGCUAACUGAAGUAUGUUAACCCAGGGUGUGGUUUUUGUGCUUAAAAACUUACUCUGAGAAAGAUAGGGGCCAAGUGGUGGGGGUGGUUUGAUUUUAAUCCUAUUUGGGAAGCAGAGACAGGCAAAUCUCUGUGAGUUCAAGGUUAUUCUGGUCUACAGAAUGAGGUCAAAAAAGAAAAAGAAAAAGAAGGAAAGAAAGAAAGAAAGAAGGAAGGAAUGAAAAAGAGAAAAGCUUGGGAGUUGGGAGUACAAUGGGGUCCUGAACAACCAGUGUAGUUGCCAGCCAGCUAAUAAAGACUUUGUAUUGACUUGAA